rnacentral:rRNA from 1 species
UACGAAGGGGGCUAGCGUUGUUCGGAAUCACUGGGCGUAAAGCGCACGUAGGCGGAUGUGCCAGUCAGGGGUGAAAUCCCGGAGCUCAACUCCGGAACUGCCUCUGAUACAGCACGUCUUGAGUUCGAGAGAGGUGGGUGGAAUUCCUAGUGUAGAGGUGAAAAUUCGUAGAUAUUAGGAAGAACACCGGUGGCGAAGGCGGCCACCUGGGUCGAUACUGGACGCUGAAGGUGCGAAAGCGUGGGGAGCAAACAGG